UGGUGGAGUGAUUUGUCUGGUUAAUUCCGUUAACGAACGAGACCUCGACCUGCUAAAUAGUUCUCUUUAUCUUUGAUAUUGCAGUACUUCUUAGAGGGACUAUCGGUGCGUAGCCGAUGGAAGUUCGAGGCAAUAACA
rnacentral:rRNA from 1 species